UUCGCCCUUAGAGUUUGAUCCUGGCUCAGGACGAACGCUGGCGGCGUGCUUAACACAUGCAAGUCGAACGAGAAUCUGCUGAAGGAGGAUUCGUCCAACGGAAGCAGAGGAAAGUGGCGGACGGGUGAGUAACGCGUGAGGAACCUGCCUUGAAGAGGGGGACAACAGUUGGAAACGACUGCUAAUACCGCAUGACGCAUAGAGGUCGCAUGAUCUUUAUGCCAAAGAUUUAUCGCUUCAAGAUGGCCUCGCGUCUGAUUAGCUGGUUGGCGGGGUAACGGCCCACCAAGGCGACGAUCAGUAGCCGGACUGAGAGGUUGAACGGCCACAUUGGGACUGAGAUACGGCCCAGACUCCUACGGGAGGCAGCAGUGGGGAAUAUUGGGCAAUGGGCGCAAGCCUGACCCAGCAACGCCGCGUGAAGGAAGAAGGCUUUCGGGUUGUAAACUUCUUUUAAGAGGGAAGAGGAGAAGACGGUACCUCUAGAAUAAGCCACGGCUAACUACGUGCCAGCAGCCGCGGUAAUACGUAGGUGGCAAGCGUUGUCCGGAUUUACUGGGUGUAAAGGGCGUGCAGCCGGGUCUGCAAGUCAGAUGUGAAAUCCAUGGGCUCAACCCAUGAACUGCAUUUGAAACUGUGGAUCUUGAGUGUCGGAGGGGCAAUCGGAAUUCCUAGUGUAGCGGUGAAAUGCGUAGAUAUUAGGAGGAACACCAGUGGCGAAGGCGGAUUGCUGGACGAUAACUGACGGUGAGGCGCGAAAGUGUGGGGAGCAAACAGGAUUAGAUACCCUGGUAGUCCACACUGUAAACGAUGAUCACUAGGUGUUGGAGGAUUGACCCCUUCAGUGCCGCAGUUAACACAAUAAGUGAUCCACCUGGGGAGUACGACCGCAAGGUUGAAACUCAAAGGAAUUGACGGGGGCCCGCACAAGCAGUGGAGUAUGUGGUUUAAUUCGACGCAACGCGAAGAACCUUACCAAGUCUUGACAUCCUGCGACGAUGCUGGAAACAGUAUUUUCCUUCGGGACGCAGAGACAGGUGGUGCAUGGUUGUCGUCAGCUCGUGUCGUGAGAUGUUGGGUUAAGUCCCGCAACGAGCGCAACCCUUAUCGUCAGUUACUACGCAAGAGGACUCUGGCGAGACUGCCGUUGACAAAACGGAGGAAGGUGGGGAUGACGUCAAAUCAUCAUGCCCUUUAUGACUUGGGCUACACACGUACUACAAUGGCGUUAAACAAAGAGAAGCGAGACCGCGAGGUGGAGCAAAACUCAAAAACAACGUCCCAGUUCGGACUGCAGGCUGCAACUCGCCUGCACGAAGUCGGAAUUGCUAGUAAUCGCAGAUCAGCAUGCUGCGGUGAAUACGUUCCCGGGCCUUGCACACACCGCCCGUCA
rnacentral:rRNA from 1 species